rnacentral:rRNA from 1 species
AUUGAGCGCUGGCGGCAUGCUUUACACAUGCAAGUCGAACGGCAGCACGGGUGCUUGCACCUGGUGGCGAGUGGCGAACGGGUGAGUAAUGCAUCGGAACGUGCCCAUGAGUGGGGGAUAGCCCGGCGAAAGCCGGAUUAAUACCGCAUACGCCCUUAGGGGGAAAGCGGGGGGUCUUCGGACCUCGCGCUAUUGGAGCGGCCGAUGUCGGAUUAGCUAGUAGGUGAGGUAAAGGCUCACCUAGGCGACGAUCCGUAGCUGGUCUGAGAGGAUGAUCAGCCACACUGGGACUGAGACACGGCCCAGACUCCUACGGGAGGCAGCAGUGGGGAAUUUUGGACAAUGGGCGCAAGCCUGAUCCAGCCAUGCCGCGUGAGUGGAGAAGGCC